rnacentral:rRNA from 1 species
UACGGAGGGUGCAAGCGUUAUCCGGAUUCACUGGGUUUAAAGGGUGCGUAGGUGGGCUAGUAAGUCCGUGGUGAAAUCUCUGAGCUUAGCUCGGAAACUGCCGUGGAUACUAUUAGUUUUGAAUGUUGUGGAGGUAAGCGGAAUAUGUCAUGUAGCGGUGAAAUGCUUAGAUAUGACAUAGAACACCGAUAGCGAAGGCAGCAAACUACGCAUAUAUUGACGCUGAGGCACGAAAGCGUGGGGAUCAAACAGG